rnacentral:lncRNA from 1 species
ACCUCUAUUGGAGUCAUCAGCUGAUCUUGCAGGCCGGUUGCCCUUCCACUCUCCACCACUAGAAGAGCCCCAACCUCGUGAAUUAUCCCUAAAAUCUCCUCUUGUAUUACGUCUGCGCUGACCCCACUGAGGUUGCUUAUCAUUCUCUUCAAUGCCAACCUUCUGAGAAUUCCAACCACCAACUGUUGAAGAAUUCCAACCACCAACUUUUGUAGCGUCAUCACGA